GUGCCCAUAGCUCAGCUGGUAGAGCGCUGGAUUGUGGUUCCAGUGGCCGUGGGUUCAAAUCCCACUGGGCACCCCA
rnacentral:tRNA from 1 species